GACGAACGCUGGCGGCGUGCUUAACACAUGCAAGUCGAACGGAAAGGCCCUGCUUUUGUGGGGUGCUCGAGUGGCGAACGGGUGAGUAACACGUGAGUAACCUGCCCUUGACUUUGGGAUAACUUCAGGAAACUGGGGCUAAUACCGGAUAGGAGCUCCUGCUGCAUGGUGGGGGUUGGAACGUUUCGGCGGUUGGGGAUGGACUCGCGGCUUAUCAGCUUGUUGGUGGGGUAGUGGCUUACCAAGGCUUUGACGGGUAGCCGGCCUGAGAGGGUGACCGGCCACAUUGGGACUGAGAUACGGCCCAGACUCCUACGGGAGGCAGCAGUGGGGAAUAUUGCACAAUGGGCGGAAGCCUGAGGCAGCAACGCCGCGUGCGGGAUGACGGCCUUCGGGUUGUAAACCGCUUUCGCCUGUGACGAAGCGUGAGUGACGGUAAUGGGUAAAGAAGCACCGGCUAACUACGUG
rnacentral:rRNA from 1 species